rnacentral:tRNA from 1 species
GCGGGGCAUCGUAUAAUGGCUAUUACCUCAGCCUUCCAAGCUGAUGAUGCGGGUUCGAUUCCCGCUGCCCGCUCCA